AAGAUGUAAACGACUGUGUAAACAAUUACUGUGAUUCAAACGGAGGAACCUGUAGAGAUCAAGUUAACAAAUAUGCCUGUGACUGUUACCAACGUUAUGAGGGAACAAACUGUAGUGUUGAUCUUUGCCCGACUGUGACUUCUGAUCUUACAGAAUGCCCGACAGUCGGUUGUCAUCCUAGCUCAUGUUCGGGUACUGGUGUAUGUUUGAAAGGUGGUCAAUGUUUAUGUCCGUUGGGAUAUUCUCCUGACGACAACUGUUCUAAAAGUAU